rnacentral:rRNA from 1 species
CAGCCGCCACGGUAAUACGGAGGGUGCAAGCGUUACUCGGAAUCACUGGGCGUAAAGGACGCGUAGGCGGAUUAUCAAGUCUCUUGUGAAAUCUAACGGCUUAACCGUUAAACUGCUUGGGAAACUGAUAAUCUAGAGUAAGGGAGAGGCAGAUGGAAUUCUUGGUGUAGGGGUAAAAUCCGUAGAGAUCAAGAAGAAUACCCAUUGCGAAAGCGAUCUGCUGGAACUUAACUGACGCUAAUGCGUGAAAGCGUGGGGAGCAAACAGGAUUAGAUACCCCCGUAGUCCCUGUCUCUUAUAC